rnacentral:rRNA from 1 species
GGAGGUAGUGACAAUAAAUCACAAUGCGGGACUUAACGUCUUGCAAUUGGAUUGAGAACAAUGUACAACUCUUAUCGAUAAGCCAUUGGAGGGCAAGUCUGGUGCCAGCAGCCGCGGUAAUUCCAGCUCCAAUAGCGUAUAUUAACGUUGUUGCAGUUAAAAAGCUCGUAGUUGAAGUGUGGAUGAUAGUUCUGUUAAUGUUUCGACAGCGAUGGAAUGAAUCAUCCCAUUCCAGUGUUCAUGAAUGGGUAUUAAGUUACUUGUGAAUGGGUAUUGGUCGUUUACUGUGAGAAAAUUAGAGUGUUCAAAGCAGACUGGUGUUUGAAUAGAUUAGCAUGGAAUAAUAAUUGAAGGCUUUCGUGUUCGAUUUGAUUGGUUUGUUCAUGGAAGCAAGGUUAAAAGGAACAGUUGGGGGUAUUCAUAUUCAAUAGUUAGAGGUGAAAUUCUCGGAUUUAUGGAAGAUGAACAAGUGCGAAAGCA